rnacentral:lncRNA from 10 species
GGCCGUCAGCCUCCCGGCCCCGCCCCGGAGGCCUCCGGUCGCCUGGCUCCGGCCCCACCCCGCCAUCCCCUGGCCCUGGCUGACUCGCCACCCCCGACACUGCAGCGCCUGCCGACCUCGGGGCCCCGCCCUCUGCCUUCGCUCGCGCCGCUCUCCUUCAGUCUCCCCAGGGCCUGUUUCAUGGAUAGGGUCCCCUUGCCCGCGUGAAAGUCUCAUUCCUCCUCAGCUCAGAAACACUCCAAGGUCUCGGCGCCCUAUACUGGCCUUCCCUCAUCCGAAUACCCCUCGUGCUCCUGAUGUACUUUUCCAUUCCCACUCCCUACUCUGGCAGUCUAGCUUCUAAGCUGAGGAGUUUGGCCUUCGCUCCAGGUGCGGGGACUCGUGGAAGGAUUUGAUUCGCGCUUGAGAAAGAUCGCUCCGCUCCUGUAAGGAAGAGAGCGUGUAGGGGCUGCAACCAGAGACACAGUCAGAAGCUCCGAGGCUACCGCGAUGGUCCAGCACGCGGUCUGGUGGCACCCUGCAGGAUUUACCAGCUUUUUGCCAACAUUCUGGCCUAUGCAAUCAAUACGUCCCUUCAGCGUUGCACUUGGAUGGAUUGGACCUAUAGUUGUUAUAUAUGGAUAUUGUCUAAUUUAUUUAUUACAGUAUUAACUGACUCC